CCAGUAAGAUGAAUAAUCGCGGCUGGCAGGACCGAAAGGGGUCAGGUGAGGAAAGUCCGGGCUUCAUAGGGCAGGAUGCCGGAUAACAUCCGGUGGAGGCGACUCUAAGGACAGUGCAACAGAAAUAUACCGCCGGCUUAUGCCGGUAAGGGUGGAAGGGCAGUGUAAGAGACUACCGCCUUUCUGGUAACAGAGAGGGCAUAUGUAAACCCCAUCCGAAGCAAGACCGAAUAAAAAGCAAUGUGGCUGCCCGUCACGCUUUUAGGUUGGUCGCUUGAGUCUGUUGGCAACAGCAGAACUAGAUAGAUGAUUAUUCACGACAUAACCCGGCUUACAGUUUUGCUGGAUAC
rfam:Firmicutes bacterium CAG:227 genomic scaffold, scf267